GGUGAACGCUGGCGGCGUGCUUAACACAUGCAAGUCGAACGAAGCACCUCUCCCGAAGAUUGACACAGCUUGCUGUAGAUUGAUUCAUUUGAGGUGACUGAGUGGCGGACGGGUGAGUAACGCGUGGGUAACCUGCCUCAUAGAGGGGGACAACAGUUGGAAACGACUGCUAAUACCGCAUAGUAAGAAGAAUUCGCAUGUUUUCUUCUUGAAAGAUUUAUCGCUAUGAGAUGGACCCGCGUCUGAUUAGCUAGUUGGUAAGGUAACGGCUUACCAAGGCGACGAUCAGUAGCUGGCUUGAGAGAGUGAACGGCCACAUUGGGACUGAGACACGGCCCAAACUCCUACGGGAGGCAGCAGUGGGGAAUAUUGCACAAUGGGGGAAACCCUGAUGCAGCGACGCCGCGUGAGUGAAGAAGUAUUUCGGUAUGUAAAGCUCUAUCAGCAGGGAAGAUAAUGACGGCACCUGACUAAGAAGCCCCGGCUAACUACGUG
rnacentral:rRNA from 1 species